AAUGUACUGCAGUGAAUAAUUGCCAAUCAUGUAUAAACAGAAAGAAAGUUCAGGUUUUCCCUGGCAAUUCAUCUCCCAUAAAACCCUGCUAGAGCUUCAAGAAGAAGCACAAGCUGGAAUCAAGAUUGCCGGGAGAAAUAUCAAUAACCUCAGAUAGGCAGAGGACACCA
rnacentral:lncRNA from 1 species